rnacentral:rRNA from 1 species
UACGUAGGGACCAAGCGUUGUCCGGAUUUAUUGGGCGUAAAGAGCUCGUAGGCGGUUAUCCACGUCGGAUGUGAAAGCUCAGGGCUCAACCCUGAGAUGCCAUUCGAUACGGGAUAGCUAGAGGUAGGUAGGGGAAAGUGGAAUUCCUGGUGUAGCGGUGAAAUGCGCAGAUAUCAGGAGGAACACCGGUGGCGAAGGCGGCUUUCUGGGCCUUACCUGACGCUGAGGAGCGAAAAGCUGGGGGGAGCGAACAGG